CACUAGUGAUUGGUGUUCUUCCCGAUAUCUACACAUUCCACCGUUACACCGGGAAUUCCAGUCUCCCCUACCGCACUCAAGCCCGCCCGUACCCGGCGCGGAUCCACCGUUAAGCGAUGGACUUUCACACCGGACGCGACGAACCGCCUACGAGCCCUUUACGCCCAAUAAUUCCGGAUAACGCUUGCACCCUACGUAUUACCGCGGCUGCUGGCACGUAGUUAGCCGGUGCUUAUUCGAAAGGUACACUCACCCGAAGGCUUGCUCCCGAUCAAAAGCGGUUUACAACCCGAAGGCCGUCAUCCCGCACGCGGCGUCGCUGCAUCAGGCUUGCGCCCAUUGUGCAAUAUUCCCCACUGCUGCCUCCCGUAGGAGUCUGGGCCGUAUCUCAGUCCCAAUGUGGCCGGUCGCCCUCUCAGGCCGGCUACCCGUCGUAGGCUCGGUGGGCCGUUACCCCGCCGACUACCUGAUAGGACGCGACCCCAUCCCAUACCGAUGAAAUCUUUCCCGGAAGGACAUGCAUCCAACCGGAGCAUCCGGCAUUACCACCCGUUUCCAGGAGAAUCGAAUUC
rnacentral:rRNA from 1 species